GUAAUUUAGCUACUUUUAGCAACAAAUCGACCUGCCCCUAGCAACUUCCCUUGAAAGUUAGUUGGCAACACUGAGUGGCAAUGCUAAUGCUGGUGAUGGCACGGGCAAAGUGCAGCAUUUACCAGAAACAAACCCCUGGCAAGUAAUGUCGAAUUCCAGCCUCCUCUGGUGGAGUUAAGACCUGCCAUGGUGAACUGACAGUAAGAGAGGAGCUGAAAGAAACCAGCCAGCACUACUCUGCUCUGGGUGAGAGGUUUGAUUUGGGCCGGGGGAAUUGGUGGCCCAGCAGGUCUGCCUGGUCUGCUUGCCUGCCUGUGUAUCCAUCGAUGGAAGUGUCUCUCACCUCUGGCCAUCUAGCGGUUCCUCCUGCCUCCUCCUCCUUUUCGACCUACCGACCGUCAGUCCGCUGAAUGGUAAUUCCCCCUGAUAACCUUGGGCUGGGAAGGCGGAGUAGGGAGAGAAGGGGAGGAGGAAGAGCGAAAGAGGCUCCCGCUCCGUUGGUCUGAGCCCGGUGAGGUGAUCGGUGUGUGGACAGGAGCCAGGCCAAUCUAGCCAUCAAUUGGGCCGUCAGCCGCCCAGCCAACGGGAGACACACUGCUAAUGCAUGGCAUUGGUCACCACGCUGCUGAAACAGCCAUGUAAUUAUAUCUCAGGGCAGGGGGCACAGGCAGUGCCAGGGAGCGAGGAGUGGAGAGGCCUUUGGACAGGGGUAUUGGACUGGAAGGAGAGUCAGUGAUUUUGCCUCUUUGCUGCCAUUUUGGUCAAUACAAUCGCUAGAGCCUGAAAAAUGAAAUCCCCCACCAAUAUUUCAGUUUGUUUUUGAAAGCUAAAUAAAGGUAAAAUAAUACAAAACAUGAGAUCAGUAUUCCAGGUAUAAACAGUGUAAUUUUAUACACGUUGAAACAAACAGCAUGCCUGGAGUCCAGCGACUGAAUUAGCCUUCUCUCUAAUAUUACUAGAAACAAAUCUGGAGAGUUGGUUGUUGAUUCAUGAAUAUGGAAUGGAAAUCAUAACAUUUCAUGGUCAUUACAAAAGUAUGUCAGAAGACGCAGUCAUACAAAUAAACAAACUUUGGGUAUUUUGUUUUGAUGAUUGUAACUAAUUCCCAGGGCUCUAGGUCCAUGCCCACCAGCCGCACACAACAUUAUUGUGGAAGAGGGAAACACUUAAGAGCCAUUGUUUUCUUUGUGUUGGAGUUUCUGAUGCCUGGCUGGUGAGGAAUGUGUAGUGAAAGUAGCUUUUCUCCCUUCUGCUACACAUCUCUAGUCAUUAGGUUUAGAGUUUUCCGUAAACUUUAACUGUCAAUUCACUAUAAUAGUAAAUUAAAAGAGCUUUGUAAUGUAAGAGGUUGUGUUGUUUGAAUUAUUAAUGUCUUGAAAAAGUCUCAAUUUCAUAGAAAUAGCAUAGAAACAGUCAUAUUUGUAAAAUGACCGUAAAUAUAUAAAGUAAAGCAUUUUAAAACCUCCAAAAUAAAAUGUAAUCAGUCGAUCAGUCAAACGUGUCAUUCUUGCUAUUGAAGCGUUCAAAACCUACCUAAUGAGUUCCUCGGAAACCUACCUAAUGAGUUCCUAGGAAACCUACCUAAUGAGUUCCUAGGAAACCUACCUAAUGAGUUCCUAGGAA
rnacentral:lncRNA from 1 species